CAAGUUCUCAACCCAAAGAGUGCAGUUAAGCCAUCAUCGUUGGCUACUACUGUAAUUAAAACGGCAGCUAAAGAAAGGAAGAAGGGGAAAAAGAGUUCCAAGUAGAGAAGUUGUGUUGUUUGUCCAUCAGUCUCAUUGCCUUGGUCAGGGAUGUUAAAAUGGGCUUGUCCUACCCAUUUACGUCCAAACCCGUUUAAUUUUUGUGUCCAUAUAAAGUCCAUUUACUUAACAAUAUUAAACGGGCUUCGUCGGGUUUGUCCACAUGUGUCCAUUUAAUAAAUGGGUUUUGAUAAAAAUAACUGGACAGCCCAUUAAAUUCAUUUAAUUUUUUUUUCUCUUUUUCAACCUAAUCUAUCGUCGUUGUUCUUCCUCCUUCUUCACCUCCUUGGCUCUUUGCCUCCUUACGAAAGAUCAAACUGCUCCAAAUGAGUUUCUGAUUCGAAUCACGAAGCUUCUAGGGUUUUGAUUUGUCUUCUAGAGUCGUUGUUCUUCACCUCCGUGUCUCCUUGCCUCCUUUCAUCUCGUCACGAGUCACGAGGUUCUGUUUUACAUCAGUUUAUAAUUUUUUUGAUGAAAAUAUAUAAUAUGUUAUGUUUUGAACAUGGACAGAUCCUGGUAGACGUUCAAGAAGGAAAAGAGUAACUUAUGGACACUUAGUGUGAAGUGUGAACUUUAUUUUUCAAUUAUGCUGUGACUGUGAUUUGUAAACUUUGAAUUUUUAGUUGAAGCAAAACAAUGUAAGGUUCUGGAUUCAUAUUUUAUUUGACAGGUAUUUAACAGGUUUCAUCGAAAAGAUAAGCUAUGAUAUAAAUAGAUCAUGUUCAUUUUUUUUUUAAGUAAACGGGCUUGAAACGGGUUUGAAACGGGUUUAGUGUUAAAUGGGCUUCACAUAAACGGGCUCUAAACGGGUCUGAUUUAAACGGGUUUUAAAUGGACAUCUAUUAAACGGGUUUGGACGUAAACGGGCUUGGACGUAAAUGGGCGGGUAAGCCCGUUUUAACAUCCCUGGCCUUGGUACAGAAGCAAAAACCAGAUUAAAAAAGAUUAUAGUUUUUGGUUAUUGUUGUUGGUGCAUGUGUUUUGCCUUACAUGAGAAUCAAUAGAUUUAUAUACAAACAUGGAUACGAAAAAAAAAUUAUUGGGUUUGAUUGGUAACCGCAAAAAUCAUUAAGUGAGAACGAUAUGUUUUUUUGUAUGUUUUGAUUUUCUCUGUUGUUUGAGUAGUGAAUGUUCUUUUCAUUACAUGCUCUGUUCUCCAAUAAGCAAAACAGCGUUAUUGGAGAAUUGUUGGAGAGAAAGAAAGAUCAUAGGCAAGACGGAGUAUAAAUGGGAGCACGGUUUCUGGAGGAGAUGAAAGCUUGAAGGUCUACAAGUCUUCUCUGUCUCUUUGAGGUACUCUGCAUCAAUGCUCAUUGCCAUUGUAAGACUUUCCAAGUACAAGAAAUCAGGAACUAGGAUGAGCAAUGUCUAUAUAUUAAAGAUUGAAGAAGGGUCUAUGGGGAGAAGUAUGUUUUGUCAGCUGGAGAAAGCAAAGGAUGUUUUGGGAGAACCCUUAUGCUAAUCUUGGUAUAUUCACAUUUUUUUUUUGAUAUAUGCAACUAGUUUUUUUUUUUUUGACGUGAAUGCAACUAGUUAUUUUUGCAUGUUUGUUGACAUAUAUAUACAUUAUUGUAGUUUGACUAUUUGUUAUGUAUGUGCAUGACGUAUGAAUGUCGGAGAUAAAAUUAAUUUAAAUAUUAUGUGCA
rnacentral:lncRNA from 1 species